GGCCACCCUCGGGGGGCUUUACCAUCGGCAAAGCAUUGCUUUGUCGCUUAAGCAAACGGAAGACAGAAA
ncrna:unclassified sequences L2-Alphaproteobacteria ribosomal protein leader